GACGAACGCUGGCGGCGUGCUUAACACAUGCAAGUCGAACGGAAAGGCCCGGCUUUUGUGGGGUGCUCGAGUGGCGAGCGGGUGAGUGACACAUGAGUAACCUGCCCUUGACUUAGGGAUAACUUCAGGAGACUGGGGCUAAUACCGGAUAGGAGCUCCUGCUGCAUGGUGGGGGUUGGAGAGAUUCGGCGGUUGGGGAUGGUAUCGCGGCAUAUCAGCUGGUUGGUGAGGUAGUGGCUUACAAAGGAUUUGACGGGUAGCCGGCCUGAGAGGGUGACCGGCCACAUUGGGACUGAGAUAGGGCCCAGACUCCUACGGGCGGCAGCGGUGGGGAAUAUUGCACAAUGGGCGGACGCCUGAUGCAGCAACGUCGCGUGCGGGAUGACGGCCUACGGGUUGUAAACCGCUUUCUCCGGUGACGAAGAGUGAUUGACGGUAAUGGGUAAAGAAGCACCGGCUAACUACGUG
rnacentral:rRNA from 1 species